rnacentral:rRNA from 1 species
GGAGAGGGCGCAUGAGAAACGGCUACCACUUCUAAGGAAGGCAGCAGGCGCGCAAAUUACCCAAUCCCAAUUCGGGGAGGUAGUGACAAGAAAUAAUAACCCGGGGUCUCAUGAUUUACGGGAUUAAAAUGAGAACAAUUUAAAUCACUUAACGAGGAACAAUUGGAGGGCAAGUUCUGGUGCCAGCAGCCGCGGUAAUUCCAGCUCCAAUAGCGUAUAUUAAAGUUGUUGCAGUUAAAAAGCUCGUAGUCGAUCUUCUAAGAGCGGUGGUCGGGAUCUCCAUCCCGGGUUGCUUGCUCUUAUCUGACUGAGACCACUAUUCGUGCUUAACUGUUGCGAAAGUGUAAAUCAGUCACUUUACUGAGAAAAAAUUAGAGUGUUCAAAGCAGGCACUGUGCCUUGAAUACACAAGCUUGGAAUAAUAGAAUAUGACUGAAGUCUCUUUGUUGGUUUUAAGACUUUGGUAAUGGUUAAUAGAAACAGUUGGGGGCAUUAGUAUCUAAUUGUCAGAGGUGAAAUUCUUGGAUUUAUUAGAGACUAACCUAUGCGAAAGCAUUUGCCAAGGAUGUUUUCAAUUGAUCAAGAACGAAAGUUAGGGGAUCAAAGACGAUCAGAUACCGUCCUAGUCUUAACUAUAAACGAUUCCGACUAUGGAUUGGGAGGGGUACGUUUAACUCUCUCAGCACAUUAUGAGAAAUCAUAAGUCUUUGGGUUCCGGGGGAAGUAUGGACACAAGUCUGAAACUUAAAGGAAUUGACGGAAGGGCACACAAGGAGUGGAGCCUGCGGCUUAAUUUGACUCAACACGGGGGAAACUUACCAGGGCAAGACAUAGGUGGGAUUGACAGAAAUGAGAGCUCUUUCUUGAUUCUAUGGGUGGUGGUGCAUGGCCGUUCUUAGUUGGUGGAGUGAUUUGUCUGGUUAAAUCCGUUAACGAACGAGACCUUACCCUGCUAAAUAGGAGCCUGAUUCUCAAUCGGGUGUCCUUCUUAGAGGGACUAUGUGCGCAAGCACAUGGAAGUUUGAGGCAAUAACAGGUCUGUGAUGCCCCUAGAUGUCCUGGGCCGCACGUGCGCUACAAUGCCACAGGCAACAAGUUAUUCCUGCUCCGACAGGAGUUCGGGUAAUCUUUAUAGUUUGUGGCGUGACCGGGAUUGUCCUUUGCAAUUAUAGGACAUGAACUAGGAAUUCCUAGUAUAGGUAUGUCAUCAGCAUGCCUAGAUUAAGUCCCUGCCCUUUGUACACACCGCCCGUCGCUCCUACCGAUUGAGAGAUUCAGUGAACCUUCUGGAGUUUGGGUCGACUUUUAUUCUUCUCUGCGAAGUUAAGUAAACUAUUAUCUCUUAGAGGAAGGAGAAGUCGUAACAAGGUAGCCGUA